UUCAAUGUUCACUCUCUCCAACAACUUCCUGCAGAAACAAAAGAGAGAAAUUUACAGAAAAAAAGGGUUUCCAUUCUUCUGUCUUUCUUUCUUUCUCCUUCUUUCUUCUUCUUCUUCUUCUUCUUCUUUACCAAAUUCAGUUUGACAAAGACAGACAUUGUGGCUAAGCUCAAGGAAUACGUUAUGGCUGCCGAUGACUCUGAACCUGACCAACCACCCCCUCAAAACGACGUCGCUCCCAUUUCUCUUCCUCACAAGAUUUCAGAUUCUUCUGAGAAAAUUGAUGCUGCAAAGGACAGAGAUAUUGCAUUGGCUCGGGUCGAAUGGGAGAAGAAGAUGGCAUUGAUAAAGGCAUGGGAGGAGAGUGAAAAGAUCAAAGCAGAGAACAAGGCAUACAAAAGGCUUUCUGCAGUUGAAUCUUGGGAGAAUACCAGAAAGGCUUCCAUAGAAGCGCAACUGAUGAAGAUAGAGGAAAAAAUGGAGAAGAAGAAAGCAGAGUAUGCUGAGCAAAUGAAGAACAAAAUCGUUGGAAUUCACAAGGAAGGUGAAGAGAAGAAGCAACCAUUGAAGCAGAACGAAAAGAACAUUGCCUCAAGGUUGAGGAAACGGCAGAAAAAUAUCGUACUUCAGGGUUCAUACCAAAGACUCUACUCAAAUGCUUCAGUGGUUGAAAUGCUGAGGGGUUAUAAAAACAGAUUCCUAUCUCAGAUUUGUACUUUGAUUUUAGUCUUUGUUUGGUAUUAUAUUGAAUUAGGAGAUGAACACUUUAGUGUUCUUUUUUAUGUAUAAAGAUUGUAUCAGUUUGCUGUAUUUUACCCAAUGAUCACUUAUGUCAUAUGCACUGAUUCAGUUAAAAAUGGUAGUGUUAAUCAUUCUGGA